UCCGUGUUGUUAGCUCUUCUCCGGGAACUGGGGCUAAUUUCCGAUAGGUGAAGACUCCUGGAAUGGAUCUCCGCCUAAAGGGCACUUAGGCCAUGCUUCUAGGCGUCGCCCAAGGAUGGGGCCGCGGCCGAUCAGGUUGUUGGUGAGGUAAUGGCUCACCAAGCCUUUAACCGGUUCGGGCCGUGGGAGCGGGAGCCCGGAGAUGGGCACUGAGACAAGGGCCCAGGCCCUACGGGGCGCAGCAGUUACGAAAAUUUCGCAAUAAGCGAAAGCUUGACGGAGCUAUCCCGAGUGCCGUCCGCUGAGGAUGGCUUUUCCCCAGUGUAGAUAGCUGGGGGAAUAAGGAGAGGGCAAGUCUGGUGUCAGCCGCCGCGGUAAUACCAGCUCUCCGAGUGGUGAGGACGUUUAUUGGGCCUGAAGCAUCCGUAGCCGGCUGGGCAAGUCCCCAGUUAAAUCCAGCGAUCUAAUCGUUGGACUGCUGGGGAUACUGUCUGGCUAGGGGGUGGGAGAGGCCGACGGUAUUCCCGGGGUAGGGGUGAAAUCCUAUAAUCCCGGGAGGACCACCAGUGGCGAAGGCUGUCGGCUAGAACAUGCCCGACGGUGAGGGAUGAAAGCUGGGGGAGCGAACCGGAUUAGAUACCCGGGUAGUCCCAGCUGUAAACGAUGCAGGCUAGGUGUUAGGGCGGCCACGUGCCGCUCUAGUGCCGCAGGGAAGCUGUUAAGCCUGCCGCCUGGGGAGUACGGCCGCAAGGCUGAAACUUAAAGGAAUUGGCGGGGGAGCAC
rnacentral:rRNA from 1 species